rnacentral:lncRNA from 1 species
UUUUUGUAUUUUAGUAGAGACAGGGUUUCACCAUGUUGGCCAGGCUGGUCUCAAACUCCUGACCUCAGGUGGAUCACCUGAGGUCAGAAGUUCAAGACCAGCCUGGCCAACAUGGUGAAACCCCGUCUCUACUAAAAAUACAAAAAUUAGCUGGGCGUGGUGGUGCAUGCCUGAAAUCCCAGCUACUUGGGAGGCUGAGGCAGGAGAAUUGCUUGAACCCGGGAGGCGGAGGUUGCAGUAAGCCGAGACCAUGCUUAUUGCCCUCCAGUCUGGGCAACAAAAAUGAAACUCCGUCUCAAAAAAAAAAAAGUAGGUCAAUUCGUAACAGUUUAUUUUGGACACACCCUGAAGCUUUUGUUUUGAAUUAAGAAAUGAGUUUCAGGAAUUGACAAACCAUUUGUUAACCAGCUGUCCUGGGCUAUUGAAGAAGAUUUCAUUUUCCGCGCAUCCACUUGUUGCAGUCCAAGUCCUCUAGUGCAACGCCAUAGCAAAUAUAAAGAUUUACUAUGCACGUGAUACAUUUUAUGGAGUGCCUCAAGCCAAGAUAGUGAAUUUAUAUGAAGGGUGUGAAAUGUAUUUCUUUACUACUAUAGUAGUUUAGUUAUAACUUUGCAUCUAUAAUUGAGCUUUCUCAUCUGUCAAAUGCUAUGGUUUUCUUAAAAUGUUACAAUUCUAGAUCUAUCCACCUUGUUUUUUUAUUGUCUACAAACCAUUAAAUGUAAAUAUUGUUUUUAGAGUCAGUCAUUGGCUUUGUCAUUUACCCUUUGAGAGUUCCACAAGUGGUAGUAGAGUGGUUUAACGUCUUUCCUCUAGUACUACCAGUAUUCAUAAAUGUAUACCCCUUACUGUAAUUUGUUCCUCUUAGAAGUCAGAUCAUCUGAUUUAUAGAGGAUUAUGAAAACCAGAGUUUUUGAAAAGGCUUAUUUUAUACAUACGUAUUAUAUAGAGAAACAAAUGUUUUUAUUAAAUGUUUCAUUGACCCAAGUAAUUUAAAAGUAAUAUGUUACCUAUGUCUUUCAGGAAAAAUAAUUAUAGCAGCUGAUCUGUAAAUGACUUUAAAAGCUAUUUUAGUAAUUUAAAUAAAUUUACUUUCUUGGUUUAUACUC